AAAAUAAUCCUACCCUUUGUGAAUUUUGUUUGUUUGAAUAAUUUUUUUUUUAAAAAAUUAUUGGAGUCUUUCCCUUUAGAGUUUGCUUUUGAGUUUGUAAAAGAAUUCGAAAACAUCUAAAGGGGAUGGUCAAUAAUUUUUUUGAAAAAAGACAUUUUUUUAAAAUUAAACUUUUUGUAUUCAUUUGUCUAAAAAUUAUUUUUAUAAUAUAAAAACAACUUUUGACAAUGGAUCUCUUGGUUCUCGCAACGAUGAAGAACGCAGCAAAAUGCGAUAAGUAGUGUGAAUUGCAGAAUACGUGAAUCAUCGAAUCUUUGAACGCAUAUUGCACUUUUUUAGUUUACUAAAAAAGUAUGUCUGUUUGAGUAUCAGUAAAAUAUUCUCAUAAAAAUCAUUGUGUAUUUUUAUGGUUAUGAGUGUUUUACAACGAUACAAGUUGUUUCACUUUAAAUUUUUUUUAAUAUUGAAAUUUUUCUAAUUUUAAUAAUUAAAAUUGGAUAAAAUUUUCCCGUCAAAAGGAAUAACCUAAACAAUUUUAAAUGAUUAAUUUUAGCAAAAUUUUCGUAAAAAGGAAAAUUUUUAUUAAAAUAACUUGAUCUCAAAUCAGAUAAGAGUACCCGCUGAACUUAAGCAUAUCAAUAAGCGGAGGAAAAGAAACUAACAAGGAUUCCCUUAGUAACGGCGAGUGAAGCGGGAAGAGCUCAAAUUUGAAAUCUCCAAGGUUUUACCUUGACGAAUUGUAGUUUAAAGAAGUGUUUUCUGCUGAAGUUUUGGUAAAAGUUCUUGGAAUAGGACAUCAUAGAGGGUGAGAAUCCCGUAUUUGACCAUUAUUUUCAGCUUUGUGAUACACUUCCAAAGAGUCGGAUUGUUUGGGAAUGCAGUCCAAGAUGGGUGGUAAAUUUCAUCUAAAGCUAAAUAUUGGCGAGAGACCGAUAGCGAACAAGUACCGUGAGGGAAAGAUGAAAAGAACUUUGAAAAGAGAGUUAAACAGUACGUGAAAUUGUCAAAAGGGAAGCGUUUGACACCAGUGUUGUUUUCUCGAAAAUCAAUUAAAAAUGGCUCGAUUUUGUAUUGCUGAGACCUUAAAAGCUCACUGUACAUUUUUCGUGUCUUUUUUAAUGCACUUUUCGUUUAACAAGUCACAUCAGUCUCUUUUGUUGUAAAAGGGUCAUUGGAAGGUGGCUUUCUUUUCGGAGAAAGUGUUUAUAGCCUUUGGCCUCUGCAAUCGGAAGAGACUGAGGUCUGCAGCGUAGACUCUUCGGGGUUAGAUACAUUUGUGCUAAGUUAUAGCUUUUUAUAGACAACUUGUUGACUAUAAUUAGUCUUGUAGCUUACUCGCUUAUGCUAUUUUA
rnacentral:misc_RNA from 1 species